GUGCUCGCUUCGGCAGCACGUAUACUAAAAUUGGAACGAUACAGACUAGAUUAGCAUGGCCCCUGUGCAAGGAUGACAUGCAAAUUCGUGAAGCAUUCCAUGUUAAA
ensembl:snRNA U6 U6 spliceosomal RNA